rnacentral:rRNA from 1 species
GCGACCUCCGUGACAACAGGGUUGGUAAUGGGUAGGUGGACAGCGAUGUGCGGAUUUCUUGCGCGUAAGGCGGUCACAGGCGGGUCAUUAAGGCAGAUGUGAAAUCCCCAGGCUCAACCGUGGAAGGUCAUUGGAAACUGGGGAACUGGGGUGCAGAAGAGGGGAGUGGAAUUCCAGGUGUAGCGGUGAAAUGCGUAGAUAUAUGGAGGAACACCAGUGGCGAAGGCGACUCUCUGGUCUGUAACUGACGCUGAGGCUCGAAAGCGUGGGGAGCAAACAGGAUUAGAUACCCUGGUAGUC